UUGCUAACGAAUGGAGAUGGGACUCUGGUGACAAGGUGGACAGAGCUGGUGAGCAGCAUCCCAGACAGGAAAGGCAUGGCUUCGUCUCCUGAGAUCCAGAUGCACUAAGUUGAAGACAGUGACAGUGAAAAGACCAGCAUCUUCAGCGACAGUGUUAUUUCCCUCCAUUGGACUACUUUCUAACCAACUAAUUGAAGGUGACACAUCUCCCCAGGUAAGCUGUUGGGCAUUCUGCAGGGUUCCUUUGCCAGACAGCAUCAGGCACAGUGACAUUAGAUCAAAUCAUCAUGAAGUUUUCUGAUGUGUGACCAGCCAUCACC
rnacentral:lncRNA from 1 species